rnacentral:pre_miRNA from 1 species
UUUUUAGAAUAAGUAUGCCCCAUGCAACAUUUAGGACAUACUUAUAUUAAAA